rnacentral:rRNA from 1 species
GAUGAACGCUGGCGGCGUGCCUAACACAUGCAAGUCGAACGGAGCUGCUUUGAUGAAGUUUUCGGAUGGAUUUAAAACAGCUUAGUGGCGGACGGGUGAGUAACGCGUGGGUAACCUGCCUCACACUGGGGGAUAACAGUUAGAAAUAGCUGCUAAUACCGCAUAAGCGCACAGUUCCGCAUGGAACAGUGUGAAAAACUCCGGUGGUGUGAGAUGGACCCGCGUCUGAUUAGCCAGUUGGCGGGGUAACGGCCCACCAAAGCGACGAUCAGUAGCCGGCCUGAGAGGGUGAACGGCCACAUUGGGACUGAGACACGGCCCAAACUCCUACGGGAGGCAGCAGUGGGGGAUAUUGGACAAUGGGGGAAACCCUGAUCCAGCGAUGCCGCGUGGGGGAAGAAGGUUUUCGGAUUGGUAAACCUCUGUGGACAGGGACGAUAAUGACGGUACCNGUUUAGAAGCCAACGGCUAACUACGUG